rnacentral:rRNA from 1 species
AGCGAACGCUGGCGGCAGGCCUAACACAUGCAGGUCGAACGAUCCUUCGGGAUAGUGGCGGACGGGUGAGUAACACGUGGGAACGUACCUUUAGGUUCGGGAUAACUCAGGGAAACUUGAGCUAAUACCGGAUAAGCCCUUUUGGGGAAAGAUUUAUCGCCUUUAGAGCGGCCCGCGUUAGAUUAGCUAGUUGGUGAGGUAAAGGCUCACCAAGGCUCCGAUCUAUAGCUGGUCCGAGAGGAUGAUCAGCCACACUGGGACUGAGACACGGCCCAGACUCCUACGGGAGGCAGCAGUGGGGAAUCUUGCGCAAUGGGCGAAAGCCUGACGCAGCCAUGCCGCGUGAAUGAUGAAGGUCUUAGGAUUGUAAAAUUCUUUUAGCAGGGACGAUAAUGACGGUACCUGCAGAAAAAGCCCCGGCUAACUUCGUGCCAGCCGCCGCCGUAAGAC